rnacentral:rRNA from 1 species
UAGUAUUAAUAUUUUAUUAAUAAAACUUAUUUAUUACGGCGGCAUUUCAUCUUUUUAUAGAAACCUGUUAUUUAAUUGAUACCCCACAUUUAUUUUCACUUUUUUUUAUAAUUUAUAUACCAUCAUUAUAAGAAUUAAUUAUAAAUUAUUAUUCUUAAUAAUAAUUAAAAUAUUAGAUCAAGGUGUAAUAAAUAAAAAAGAUUUAAUGGGUUGCAUUAAAUAUAAUUUAAAGAUUAUUUUUUUAUAAAAUUUUAUAAAAUAGAAUAUAAUAACAAUAUUAUAAUAAUAAUUUAAUAUGAAAUAGAUAAUAAAUGUGC